UCUCCGUAGGUGAACCUGCGGAGGGAUCAUUACUGAGUGAGGGCUUCGGUCCGACCUCCAACCCUUUGUGAACCAAACUUGUUGCUUCGGGGGCGACCCGGCCUUCGGGCGUCGGGGCCCCCGGUGGACCACCCAACCCUGCAUCGUUGCGUCUGAGUCGAAAUAUAAAUCAAUCAAAACUUUCAACAACGGAUCUCUUGGUUCUGGCAUCGAUGAAGAACGCAGC
rnacentral:misc_RNA from 1 species